CUCUCUCUCUCUCUCUCUCAAAAUAUAAAUAAACAUUAAAAAAAAUAACGUGGGACACCUUUUCAUAUUCCAACUUCCCACUUAAUGCUAUGUUUGAACAGCACUCACUAUAAUCCUGAGAGGUUGGCAUUCUUGUGUCGUUGGACGGAUGGGGACAUUUCGAGGGCAGAAGGGGCCGGCGGCUUGCCUGAAGAGGAACAGCUGGUACACGGUGGAUCCCGGAUAAACUCAGAUGACAGGGUGUGAGCUCCUACCCGCUGAACUGCAGAGAAGCCUUGUCCUAGGACAGGAACGAGGUCUUCUCCCUCUCGAACUGGAGGAAGACGGGCAGAACUCAGAUCAGCUCUUUAUGUAUUUUCUUCAGAUCAGCUCGUGAAUCACUGGAGCCCGGCAACACACGGGUUAAGAAGGCUCUUUGGGGAACAGGCUUUGCUCUCCCCCGCGAUAGCCCCUGCUGUUAUUUUUACGGGAAAGCAUGUUCUGAGUUCCAAGCCCGGACGCCAGAAGGAGGCCCGGUGCAUGGCCCGUGGGAGCCUGUCUGUGUACCCAACGAAAACAUCACGACUUGAGUAAUAGCGAGUCCUGGAAAUGAUGACGGCCGCUUCCAAGCUUGUUGCCAGCCACUUGCUGGCCUUUGCAGAAACCUGAGACGCAGGCAUGUGUGUAGGGGAGGCGGGAGGCGGGAGUCCCCACCAAGGAGUCUCAGGUUUCGCAAUCUCCACGAGGCUAGAAUCCGUUUUCUCCUCCCGUCUCGGUCAGGCUGCCCGGGAGCAAACCUGGAGACCGAGAUUGGUGUGCAAGCCGUCCGCUGAGGUCACGGUCCCAGGGUGGUCUGCAAGGGGGGGGGGGGGAGGAGACCAAGAAGCCAAGGGGGGACGGCGUUUUCUUCGGCAAAGUCUCCCCAAGGGUUUGUCCAGACUCGGGCGGAGGAGCUGGGCCUUCAUAUCCAAGUACCUGCGUGUCAGUGACCAAGGGUUCACCUGCGGACAGAAGCCCCGGGCAGCUCUCAGCAUCCGCGUGUGCACGCGAAAUAACUGCAGGUGCACGCCGUGCGAAGCAAAGCACCCCAAAGACCAAGGAGGCCGGAAAGAAUCACAAGGCUUCAGGGGAGCUCCCAGAGCACACUGGGGGCCGCCCGUCUUGCUGGACUCACACCAAUCAAUCUCAUCGGGCUCCAGCCAUGUGAUAAGUUAUUCAGUGAGGUGCCGAUACCUUGUAACGUUUUCGUCGCUUCCAGAAAACAAGAGGCCAGUGAUACUUGCCAAUGGCAAAUGCCAGAAACAAUGUGAGCCGGAGCCAGAGGCAAGGAUUCCUGCUCACCAAUCCGGGAGGUCAGCCUGUUGACACAGCCGAUCCAAGGAAGCUGGCCUCCUUCUGCAACCACACACCGUCUGUGAUUCCCGGCAGCCGGGGAAAGAACGUUACUCCCAGCGGCUGGGACGGCGGCCCGGCGGUUUUCUCUCCCCGUCUCCUCCGAAGCCUUUCCCUGCCCGGCGAUGCGUGGGACCAUCUACCGUGACACUGUUGAUCGAAACUCAGCAUGCUGAUGGAAAAGUGCAAACGCGUGAGUGUGUACAGACGGGUGGAUUUUCCCAACGUGAACUCAUCCACGUGACCCCCUCCCAGGAGCCCCUCAGGACGUCGGGAGAUCCCCCGGGCGCCCUUUCGCUCCCCUCCCUCCGCGCCCUCCUUCCCAGGGAAGGUGCCAUCCCGACGUCCGACCCCAGAGGCUAGCUCUGCCCGCCACGGACAUUCUAUACGAGUGACAUCACGCGGGGUGUGCUCUUUCGCGGCCGGAUGCGUUCACGCAGCCCCACCUUUGUGAGGUUCGUCUGCAUGACGGUUUGCAACGGCGGUUUGUUCUUUUUCCAUCGUCGUCUACUGUGCCGCAACUUCUGGAUCCUUCCCAUCGCUGACGGGCAUCAGAGCUCGCUCCCGUUGGGGCCGUUGGAAACGGUGUGCCUGUGAGUGUUCUAGAACGUGUUUCUGGGUGCGCGUAUGUGUGCAUACUGUUGGGCGCACACCCAGGGGAAUGCCUGGCUGUCCGGUAUUUGCAUGUUCAGCUUGAUGAGGUGCAGCCUGUUUGCAAAGUGCACUGAUUUACACGCUCGGAAAAGCGCAGCCGUUCUGGGGCCUGCACCACCUCGCCAGCACUUGGUAUUUGGAACUUCCGUUUUGCUUGCCACCCAAUCAUAAUGCAGGGAACGAUACACUUCGAUAUUCUCCACCCUUACGACUGCCGCUGGUUUUUAUAACAUCUUUGUGGGAAUCGGAAAAGGACCCUCCUGCCUUAAGACCCUUCCGCCGGAUGAAAAUGUGAUGAAAGCUGGUUUUGUCAGAGCAUGGCAUGUGACUGCCCUCUGCUGGAAGACUGUUGAAAUUCAUAGUACAGAGCUUGGAUCCCGGCGAUGGAAAUGGCAACCUCUUAGGUGUGGUAGCCUUGGGCAGUGCACACCCCGGACAACCACACAUGGUGACCCUGCCACUCUUCACUCUUGUUCACACACACUGGAGGUGACGGUCAGGACUGGGCAGAGGCGGCCCAAUGAAAGCUCACAGAAUGAUGGCCGGGGGACUGAACCUGGUCUGCUGUUUUUAUUCGACCCACAGAGGGGGAAAAAAAAAAAUGGAGCUAAUAUUUUAAAAUUUGGCAGAUUGUGUCUAAUGAUCUGGAAAAAUCUGAGAAAUCAGAGAAAGUAGAGAAACUGGGCCCUCACUCCCAAAUUAUAACACCGAGGCUGCUCUCCAUGUGUCUCCAGUUAGCCUUCGUCUCCGCCAUGCCCGACUGUCCCUCAAGCCUUAGUCAAUGGCUAUAGCGAAAUGAAACUAUGCUAAUGCAGCGUCAGAUGCCUUCCCCAAGUGUCUUCCCUUAUGUAUCAGCAGUCUUCACUGCUGUUGGAGGCCUAUACAUUUGUGACCACUGGUCUUGACACUGAUGAAAAAAACCCCACCCCAAGCUGAUCCUUAGAUCGUAAGAUCAAGUAACCCCUAUAUUCUUUGUGCUCUAGUGAAAAUCCCAUCGGACAAGGUUUCUGUGGAAUCAUAGGGUCGAAAGGCUGGAGUCUGCCGGCCCCAACCCCUGCCCCAAGGGGUUGGUGCUUCACCAGCUGGUGGCCCAGGAAGGGGGGAGGUGGGGGAAUGUGGCGGGAGGGCUGGGUGAGCAGGUGAGGGUGAGGGGGCUGCAUCUAGAACUUGCUCGGAGGGAAUCCGGUGUCCCAGGGAUCGGGGCUGGGACAGUGUAGCAGCCUGACAGUUAUGGGGCUGAGACAGAGUUGACGAUUUCAGGUGUUCCCGUUACAUCGUUCUAAGCUAGUCUCUUCAUUAACUCAAGACUUUUUCACUCAUCUAUCUAUCUAUCUAUCUAUCUAUCUAUCUCUAUCUCAUCUUUCUAUCUAUCUAUCAGCAUAUACUGGCUAAAUCAACUAACUUUGAAGUAAUUUAUCGUUUUUGUUAAAGAUGAAUGGUCCUAAUACUGCAUGUGUUUAUGCGGCACCUAUUUUUUUAAGUAUUCUUUUAAUGCUUAUUUUUGAGGGAGAGAGAGAGAAAGAGAGAGAUAGUGUGGGGGAGGGGCAGAGAGAGAGGGAGACACAGAACCCGAAGCAGGCUCCGGGCUCUGAGCCGUCAGCACAGAGCCUGACGCGGGGCUCGAACUCAUGAGCUGUGAGAUCGUGACCUGAGCCGAAGUCAGUUGCUGAACCGACUGAGCCACCCGGGCGCCCCAUUAUUGGGCACUUACUACGUUCCAGGAACUGCGUCACGUCAGGGCCUCCCAGAGUGACCUGACGCUUUGCACAAGGUCACACGUCCCGUCUGUGCCACAACCGGAAUCGGGAGCCCGGGUUCUGACUCACUGAUUUUUCUCCACCCGACGUGCAGUCUGAGUUUCCAAAUCCGGCAGGCAUCAGAGCACGCUGCUCUUUAGAAAGAUGAGCCAAUUUACAUUCUUCACCGGCAGGCCGCGGGCUGCCCCCUCUCCCGGAGAGGCCUUUUUCAAACUGACAUCUGUCAGCAGCCUUGAUCCGUGCGUGGCUUUUUCCAAGCGGUGGUCCUGCUCGGGGACCUCAGCUCAACUUUGAUUCCAGCCGCGGCACACGGGCAGCCCCUCCCGGCUCCAGUAAGAUGGGUCGUGCCCUGGCUGCGAGGGACAGCGUGGGGGCAACCAGGCCCGCGUUGUGCCGUUGCAGGGGUGGGGGAAGGCUCCCGUGAGAUGCGGGCACGCAAGUGUUUGGAAGAAUCAUGCGAUGUUGGGCAAAGGCAGAGCGUUAGGAUUGCGGCGGGUGGGGGAGCGGGCCGGAGGAGGGGGCAGAUGGGCGGGUGCCGCGUCCUCUUCUGGAGUCGGGCCCAGAGCCCAGGGCUCCCCUCCCAUCCCUCUGACAGUGCAGGGCUCGCCAGGUUCUGUGCCGGCAUUCGAGGGAGCGCCGGAGCUCUCUGAGGCUGUGGCUCGGCACUGGAGCCUUCCUUUGGAGACAUCUGCCAGGGAGAUUGGAGCAAAGCUUCUUUGAGGCCACGAAGAGGUGAUUGUUUUGCAUUGUGUAGGAGGAGCCAUCCAGGGGAAGGAGAAAUUUCCCUUCGAGAAAUUCAAGAGGCGAUGCCGGAAUCCUGUCAAUUCCACGACUCACGGAGCGGGGUCUUCGCCUUUGUAGGGAGGGGUGCGGGGGAUGGGCAGGGGGCCGUGACGUGUGUGGGGUCCUUCCUUAGCGGGCAGAAGUCAAAACGGGUGGGACGUGUUCAUUCACGUACUUCCUUAUUAAAAAAUAAUUUACUGG